AACGAACGCUGGCGGCAUGCCUAACACAUGCAAGUCGAACGGGUACCUUCGGGUGCUAGUGGCGCACGGGUGCGUAACGCGUGGGAAUCUGCCCUUGGGUUCGGAAUAACUCAGCGAAAGCUGUGCUAAUACCGGAUGAUUUCGAAAGACCAAAGAUUUAUCGCCCGAGGAUGAGCCCGCGUUGGAUUAGCUAGUUGGUGGGGUAAAGGCCUACCAAGGCGACGAUCCAUAGCUGGUCUGAGAGGAUGAUCAGCCACACUGGGACUGAGACACGGCCCAGAAUCCUACGGGAGGCAGCAGUGGGGAAUAUUGGACAAUGGGCGAAAGCAUGAUCCAGCAAUGCAGCGUGAGUGAUGAAGGCCUUAGGGUUGUAAAGCUCUUUUACCCGGGAUGAUAAUGACAGUACCGGGAGAAUAAGCGCCGGCUAACUCCGUG
rnacentral:rRNA from 1 species